rnacentral:rRNA from 1 species
CUAGGGACGAAGCUUUUGUGACGGUACCUAGAGAAGAAGCACCGGCUAACUACGUGCCAGCAGCCGCGGUAAUACGUAGGGUGCGAGCGUUGUCCGGAUUUACUGGGCGUAAAGAGCUCGUAGGUGGUUUGUCGCGUCGUCUGUGAAAUUCCGGGGCUUAACUCCGGGCGUGCAGGCGAUACGGGCAUAACUUGAGUACUGUAGGGGAGACUGGAAUUCCUGGUGUAGCGGUGGAAUGCGCAGAUAUCAGGAGGAACACCGAUGGCGAAGGCAGGUCUCUGGGCAGUUACUGACACUGAGGAGCGAAAGCAUGGGUAGCGAACAGGAUUAGAUACCCUGGUAGUCCAUGCCGUAAACGGUGGGCGCUAGGUGUGAGACCCUUCCACGGGUUUUGUGCCGUAGCUAACGCAUUAAGCGCCCCGCCUGGGGAGUACGGCCGCAAGGCUAAAACUCAAAGGAAUUGACGGGGGCCCGCACAAGCGGCGGAGCAUGUGGAUUAAUUCGAUGCAACGCGAAGAACCUUACCUGGGUUUGACAUACACCAGAUCGCCGUAGAGAUACGGUUUCCCUUUGUGGUUGGUGUACAGGUGGUGCAUGGUUGUCGUCAGCUCGUGUCGUGAGAUGUUGGGUUAAGUCCCGUAACGAGCGCAACCCUUGUCUUAUGUUGCCAGCACGUUGUGGUGGGGACUCAUGAGAGACUGCCGGGGUUAACUCGGAGGAAGGUGGGGAUGACGUCAAAUCAUCAUGCCCCUUAUGUCCAGGGCUUCACACAUGCUACAAUGGUCGGUACAACGCGUGUGCUACUUCGUGAGGAGAUGCUAAUCGCUGAAAGCCGGCCUUAGUUCGGAUUGGGGUCUGCAACUCGACCCCAUGAAGUCGGAGUCGCUAGUAAUCGCAGAUCAGCAACGCUGCGGUGAAUACGUUCCCGGGCCUUGUACACACCGCCCGUCACGUCAUGAAAGUUGGUAACACCCGAAGNCCCAUGGCCCAACCAGUUUUCUNGGGGGAGNGUCGAAGGGGA